GACGAACCGUGCGAACGUUAUUCGGAAUCACUGGGCUUAAAGCGCGUGUAGGCGGGCCGCCACGUCGGCUGCUGAAAUCCCCCGGCUCAACCGGGGAACGGGCACCGAUACGAGCGGCCUGGAGGGGGGUAGGGGGGUCUGGAACUUCCGGUGGAGCGGUGAAAUGCGUUGAGAUCGGAAGGAACGCCCGUGGCGAAAGCGAGGCCCUGGACCCUUACUGACGCUGAGACGCGAAAGCCAGGGGAGCGAACGGG
rnacentral:rRNA from 1 species